AUCCUUCAGUACAAUGUUGCACAGUCACUGUGAGAAUACCCAUCUGUCCUGAACUUAGGGAAAAGCAAAGAAUACA
rnacentral:lncRNA from 1 species